rnacentral:lncRNA from 1 species
AGCGACAGUGAAAUAGAUGGAAUUCAAACAAGCAUGUAUCUUAAACAGCCAUGGGUGACAAUUUUAUUUCUUUCAACACAAAAAGAUUCCUUAAACAGCCACGUGUACAACAAUAGGUACAUUCAAGGUACAUUCAAGCACAGGAAGUACUACCAAGGAGCUAAAACACGUACUAACAGCAAACAUGUACAUUCAAGCAUCCACGUAGCUACCAAGUAGCUAUCAUUUCUACCAGGAGCAGCAACAGCCGCCUGAAAGACAAGGAGGUACUACCACAACCAGCAGCAACCAUCCAUCACCACCAGCGGCGACAUUUCAGAGACGCCCUCCCCUUGCUGUUGCUUGGCGUGCUGCAUCACAAGUCCCCCUACACACACAAAAUUCAGAUGUUCAAAACAUAUCAACAUGUUGAGCAGUUAGGGAAUCAUGGAGCAAAUGUUACUGUGGUGCAAGGCGACAGAUUACAGGAUUAAAUAUUAACAGAAGAAGAAUCGUUGAACAAAUCGUGCAAAAUGGCAUGGUGGAUUUGGAAAGUAACAUUCAAGCAGCAGUUUGAAUCGAUGAGCAGACUAUACAGAUUCUAACAAGGCUACAAGGCUACACAUUUGAACACAGGAAACCAUAAAUUUGAACAACCAAAUUGAGAAUAAGAGUAGAUCAACAAUUGCAUUGCAACUAAAUUCUAAAUAUCACUGACCAACUGGGUCGAACAAUACCCAAAUGACGCGGUGCAGCGACAAAGAAACAUGGAAACCAACACAAAGUCCGCCAAAAUUUCAUCGCAUCACCGAGCAAACACUGAGAUCAGGCGGAAGAGACCAACACUGAAUAGAGCGGUAACAGAGAGGGGAUGGGGGAGCGAGUAACUUACAACAUCACAAAAGGUACUUCCACUUCUCACCAUCGACCUUGCAAACCUGCGAUUUAAACACAAAUCAGGACACGGGAUUUGCAAGAAAAACUAUCACAGCACGAGUUCGAAUAAGAACAAGGAGAUAGGGGCGGGAGCAAAGGGAACCGAGAUGCUUACCAUGGAGACCUACUUGAUGUUGGAGUCCUUCCUGAAGCUGUCCCUGCAAAAACAGAACCAAAAUGGGCCCCGGUCAGGCUGCGUCACCACGCCACAGAAACAACGUGAAACGAACCACAACAACAAAUCAAAUCUGGGGCUCACAUGAGGACUAAGACAGCGCUUGGGCUUGUUGGAGUCUUUCUUGGCCUUG